UUGCUGGUGGCUCAGGGGGUAAAGCAUCUGCCUGUAAUGCAGAAGACCUGGGUUCGAUCCCUUGGUUGCGAA
rnacentral:tRNA from 1 species